GCCUCUGUAGUUCAAUGGCAGAAUUCCACCUUGUGGCGGUGGGGACCCAGGAUCGAUACUUGGCGGGGGCA
rnacentral:tRNA from 1 species